rnacentral:rRNA from 1 species
UAGGGAAUAUUAGUAAUGGGCGAAAGCCUGAACUAGCAACGCCGCGUGUGCGAAGAAGGCCUUCGGGUUGUAAAGCACUUUUUGAGAGGAUGAGGAGGGACGGUACUCUCAGAAUAAGUCUCGGCUAACUACGUGCCAGCAGCCGCGGUAACACGUAGGAGGCGAACGUUAUCCGGAUUUACCGGGCGUAAAGCGCGUGUAGGUGGUUUGGUAAGUAGGGCGUGAAAGCUCCUGGCUCAACUGGGAGAGGCCGUUCUAAACUGCCGAACUAGAGGAUGGUAGAGGGAGGUGGAAUUCCGGGUGUAGCGGUGGAAUGCGCAGAUAUCCGGAGGAACACCAGUGGCGAAAGCGACCUCCUGGACCAUUCCUGACACUCAGACGCGAAAGCUAGGGUAGCAAACGG